CCCGGUAGUGGGGGAUAACGUGGGGAAACCCACGCUAAUACCGCAUACGUCCUACGGGAGAAAGCGGAGGAUCUUCGGACUUCGCGCUAUCGGAUGAGCCUAUGUCGGAUUAGCUAGUUGGUAAGGUAACGGCUUACCAAGGCGACGAUCCGUAGCUGGUCUGAGAGGAUGAUCAGCCACACUGGGACUGAGACACGGCCCAGACUCCUACGGGAGGCAGCAGUGGGGAAUAUUGGACAAUGGGCGAAAGCCUGAUCCAGCCAUGCCGCGUGUGUGAAGAAGGCUUUCGGGUUGUAAAGCACUUUCAGCGAGGAAGAAGGCCUCUGGGUUAAUACCCCAGAGGAAGGACAUCACUCGCAGAAGAAGCACCGGCUAACUCCGUGCCAGCAGCCGCGGUAAUACGGAGGGUGCGAGCGUUAAUCGGAAUUACUGGGCGUAAAGCGCGCGUAGGUGGCUUGGCACGCCGGUUGUGAAAGCCCCGGGCUCAACCUGGGAACGGCAUCCGGAACGGCCAGGCUAGAGUGCAGGAGAGGAAGGUAGAAUUCCCGGUGUAGCGGUGAAAUGCGUAGAGAUCGGGAGGAAUACCAGUGGCGAAGGCGGCCUUCUGGCCUGACACUGACACUGAGGUGCGAAAGCGUGGGUAGCAAACAGGAUUAGAUACCCUGGUAGUCCACGCCGUAAACGAUGUCGACUAGCCGUUGGGACCUUUAAGGACUUAGUGGCGCAGUUAACGCGAUAAGUCGACCGCCUGGGGAGUACGGCCGCAAGGUUAAAACUCAAAUGAAUUGACGGGGGCCCGCACAAGCGGUGGAGCAUGUGGUUUAAUUCGAUGCAACGCGAAGAACCUUACCUACCCUUGACAUCCAGAGAACUUUCCAGAGAUGGAUUGGUGCCUUCCGGAACUCAGAAACAAGUGCUGCGAUGGCUGUCGUCAGCUCGUGUUGUGAAAUGUUGGGUUAAGUCCCGUAACGAGCGCAACCCUUGUCCUUAUUUGCCAGCGAUUCGGUCGGGAACUCUAAGGAGACUGCCGGUGACAAACCGGAGGAAGGUGGGGACGACGUCAAGUCAUCAUGGCCCUUACGGGUAGGGCUACAC
rnacentral:rRNA from 1 species